rnacentral:rRNA from 1 species
GACGAACGCUGGCGGCGUGCUUAACACAUGCAAGUCGAACGGAGUGGCGAACGGGUGAGUAACACGUGGGUAAUCUGCCUUGCACUUCGGGAUAAGCUUGGGAAACUGGGUCUAAUACCGGAUAUUGCAAGAUGUGGUCGCGGCCUAUCAGCUUGUUGGUUGGGUAAUGGCCUACAAAGGCGUCGACGGUUCGCCGGCCUGGGAGUGUGUACGGCCACAGUGGGACUGAGAUACGGCCCAGACGCAUACGGGAGGCAGGAGUGGGGAAUAUUGCACAAUGGGCGGAAGCAUGAAGCAGCGACGCCGCGUGGGGGAUGAAGGCCUUCGGGUUGUAAACUCCUUGCGACAGGGACGCGGUACCUGUAUAAGAAGCACCGGCUAACUACGUGCCAGCAGCCGCGGUAAUAC